rnacentral:rRNA from 1 species
ACAUUGCAAGUCGAGCGAACAGAAGGGAGCUUGCUCCCGGAUGUUAGCGGCGGACGGGUGAGUAACACGUGGGUAACCUGCCUGUAAGACUGGGAUAACUCCGGGAAACCGGAGCUAAUACCGGAUAGUUCCUUGAACCGCAUGGUUCAAGGAUGAAAGACGGUUUCGGCUGUCACUUACAGAUGGACCCGCGGCGCAUUAGCUAGUUGGUGGGGUAAUGGCUCACCAAGGCGACGAUGCGUAGCCGACCUGAGAGGGUGAUCGGCCACACUGGGACUGAGACACGGCCCAGACUCCUACGGGAGGCAGCAGUAGGGAAUCUUCCGCAAUGGACGAAAGUCUGACGGAGCAACGCCGCGUGAGUGAUGAAGGUUUUCGGAUCGUAAAGCUCUGUUGUUAGGGAAGAACAAGUGCGAGAGUAACUGCUCGCACCUUGACGGUACCUAACCAGAAAGCCACGGCUAACUACGUGCCAGCAGCCGCGGUAAUACGUAGGUGGCAAGCGUUGUCCGGAAUUAUUGGGCGUAAAGGGCUCGCAGGCGGUUUCUUAAGUCUGAUGUGAAAGCCCCCGGCUCAACCGGGGAGGGUCAUUGGAAACUGGGAAACUUGAGUGCAGAAGAGGAGAGUGGAAUUCCACGUGUAGCGGUGAAAUGCGUAGAGAUGUGGAGGAACACCAGUGGCGAAGGCGACUCUCUGGUCUGUAACUGACGCUGAGGAGCGAAAGCGUGGGGAGCGAACAGGAUUAGAUACCCUGGUAGUCCACGCCGUAAACGAUGAGUGCUAAGUGGUUAGGGGGUUUCCGCCCCUUAGUGCUGCAGCUAACGCAUUAAGCACUCCGCCUGGGGAGUACGGUCGCAAGACUGAAACUCAAAGGAAUUGACGGGGGCCGCACAGCGGUGGAACAUGUGGUUUAAUUCGAAGCAACG